CAAAUGACAUAAGCAUUUCUCAGCCAACCUCCCCGAGUAACGUAACAGAUGGAGAAAAAUUACAGGUGGUAACAACCAAAUUUCCUAGCGAUAGCCGGGACAAGCAUUCAGUACCUCCACUGUAGCGUUGCAGCAGCGGCGACGUGUAGGUGCCUUUUUCUUCGGUACUUGUACACUGUCUAGACACAACACGAUCAGACUAGACAUGCCUCUACAUUGGCCAGGUCCUUCGGUACCACUACAUUGUCAUAACCACAAUUAGAAUAACCAGAAUCUAUUUUAUGUUCCAAUACAAAUGAAAUGUAUUUAUUAACCAACAUUAGAAGAGGUAUAAUAAAAAUGAAAUGUAUAAUACCACCAAUAUAAUACAAAUGACAUGUAUAAUAUUUAAUAACAACCAAUAUAAUACAACAGCAUACAAAAGUGAAUAUUAUAUGUAUUAACCAUAAUUAGAAUAGGCCUUCAAAUAGCUACAAAUAUAAUACAAAAAUAAUACAAACUAUCUUCAUAUAGAUACACAAAUAUGAUUUAAUACAAAAUAUCUUCAAUAUAAUACAAUACAAAAAUAGACUUGCAAAUAGCUCAAAUUGGAAUAUUCUCUUUCUCCUCUUCGCAUACAAACCGUUUGUAGGAGCAAAGGUUACAGAAUACGCAUCUACGGUUGAAUAGUUGACAUCUGUUGCAUUGUUGUCCUAUUACAACAGCGGGUGGGAUCUCAUAUACGUCCUGCAGAUCGGUAAUUGGGAUAUCGUAUAGGGAUCCCAAAUACAUUGCCAGAAACGACCGUUUACAGUAUAUAUGCCUAUAUUCAUCGACCAGAUCACGUAAGACGAAUGGUACAUGGUCUGCUGCUAUCCAAACAUGGCUGUUGUUCCUGGGGCGACUGGCCAUUUGCAGGCCAUGCCCAUAUUGGACUGCAUAUGUCACGAUAGCUUGGUCGAUAUGCGACAGGUCUCGAUGUCUGACACCUGGCGUGUAUAUAUGCAAUUGGUCGUACGUAUCAUCAAACAGCGUGACAUAACUUAAUCUUCUGAAUAUCCACCCAGAACUUACAUAAUAGCCAUCGAUGUGUAAUAAUAUCCCUUCCAUUUUCAGAACCUAAAAUGGAUAUAAUUCAAUUAUAAUGCCUAAUAGAUAUCCGUAAAAUAUUUUCUAAGGAGAUGUAUUUAUUAUGAUCCUGUAUUACAAUACAUACAGAUUAACUGCGAGAGUGACAUGGAUGCAACCGAGUUGUUUAAGGUUCUGUUAUCUAAGGAUAUGGAUUAUAAUCAUUUCGAAAGAAUGCUGAAGAGAAUAGAAAAGAAAUGUAGAGAGACGCCAGAGAUUAUGGAUACCUGGAAUGAAAUAGCUGCACGUUUGAUGAUCUAUAAAGAAUGGAAUAAGGACAAAGGGAUAAUUCCAAAAUACAAUGAAGCCUGUUUAAAUUCAGUCUGGACAUAGCUGACGCAAGAAUAAUAUGUCAAUAUUGGUGUGAUGUACGGGAUAUUUGUGUGGUCUGUGUCAUUUCCUGUUGUCUAAAUGUUAAUAAAGAAUUGUUUCAUUUAUGGCUUAUAUAUACUAAGGUCUAUAACGCGUCUGAAUAUACAAUGAUUAUGGCCACUGCAAAUGUUACAGGAAACGAUUUCAAACAGUAUAUCGAUGGAGAUAGAGAUUCCUUCAUAUUCAAAGGAGGGAUGGCCCAUACUGUUUAGAUAUCGAUAUACUAGAGUUUCCGGCAACUGGAGGAGCGGUGUAUUACUGCGUGGGGAAAUGUCUGAAGCUGUACUAUUUCGGAGAAAGAAAUACUAUUCCUGUAUUAUACCCAAUUUCAUCAGACCUCAACUAAGUACAGAUCGAUUUCGUACAUGUGUAACCGUUUCUGUUAUCGAUAUUCCUGUGUGUAUUGUAAUAUAGCAUUUGAAUAAAUACCUGUACUUUACUAUAAUCAUUACACACCACAAUAAUAUAUCUUCCUGGUAUACUCGCUUUGCCUGUACCCUCUCUGCUUACUCUACCUUACUAGACCAUCUGUAAUAAACGCUGUUUAUUAAAAGUAAAUUGUUUUGAAAGCAAACCUCUAUCUUGUACUCUUCACAUUUCUCAAUCAUUUAAGUGUAUGCAAGUAGUCUGUUGUACUAUAGUUUUUUCUAAAACCUGCC
rnacentral:lncRNA from 1 species